UACGUAGGGGGCAAGCGUUAUCCGGAUUUACUGGGUGUAAAGGGCGUGUAGGCGGGGACGCAAGUCAGAUGUGAAAACCACGGGCUCAACCUGUGGCCUGCAUUUGAAACUGUGUUUCUUGAGUACUGGAGAGGCAGACGGAAUUCCUAGUGUAGCGGUGAAAUGCGUAGAUAUUAGGAGGAACACCAGUGGCGAAGGCGGUCUGCUGGACAGCAACUGACGCUGAGGCGCGAAAGCGUGGGGAGCAAACAGG
rnacentral:rRNA from 1 species